rnacentral:misc_RNA from 1 species
GGCUAAUAUGCGACGGGCGCAGCGCCAUCAGUCAUUUGAUCCGUCCGCUGUUCAUGGCGUCACCCAGUUUGCCGAUUUGACUCCUUUCGAGUUUCGGAAGGCAUUUCUAGGGCUUCGAGGUCAUCGUCUCCGACUUCCUGUUGAUACUAAUGCGGCUCCGAUUCUUCCCACGGAGAAUCUUCCGACUGAUUUUGAUUGGAG